CCAAGCUACAUUGAACGCAUCGGUCUGAACAGGCUAACAAACAACAAUGGCGGAAAAGUAAUAAGAUAGUAAGCUAGGUUGUGUGUUUACUUGCUCCUUUUUUGACCAAUAUCACGUCACCCACUCUCCAUACCGAGCAGACCAGGACAGAAAGAGGAGCGCUGCAGCCACAUGGAGACUGCGGAGCAUAGCACUGCAUCAACAGGGGCAUUCAAUCAAUCGCAACUGGACUGAUCCGGUUGUCUUAGAAGAUGUUUCGCCUCAAAGACAAGUGAGCCAGACUUCCUUAUAUGGGGGUGCCCGCGUACAGGCUGCCCAAGCUGAAUGUGACCAAUCACAAUGUUGUGGGCGUGCCUGCAGGCGGACUGUGGGUGGAAUGAGGAAAUUGCUGGAGUAGGUGCAGAUUCUGGAAGAUCUAGAAAGCUUUCUGUGUGGGUUAUAAGAAAAAGGGUUUUCUUUAAUAUUUCAACUUUAUUAUACUGAAAUGACUCUAUUUUUCCUUAUAAUAUUAUAUAAUUUAUUCUCCAAACAUUGCAACUUUUUUCAAGUUUUUUGUCUUAUUAUUUUAACUUUUUCUUUUUUUUUUCUUUUUUCUUGUAAAUGUUAUUUUAAACAACGUUUUUGUUUGUUUUUUCAUCAUAAAAUGACUGAGAAAUACAUUUUUCUUGAAGGUUUCAGGUUUAUGCUCCUAAAAUGAUUGUACAGUACACAAUUAUAUGUUAUUCUCGUAAAAUUGUGACUUUUUCUCAUUAUAUAACAUUUUUCCCUGAAUAUUUUGACUUUAUUUUUGGAAAAGUUCAGCCUUUUUUGGGUAUUUUUUUAUUUAAUUUUAAUCUUAUAAUCAUUACUUUAUUCCCAUCCAAUUUUGACUUUAUUAUUUUUUUCAAACCUAAUCUAGAAACAAUGUAGAAGCCUUAACUAUUGUUAGCAUUGUUAUUAUCUGCAAACCUUCUUAAGUGUAAUUUUCCUGGCACGUCUCAGUGACAGUGGCACAAGUUGUUUAUAUUUUUAGCGCCAUAGCUUUGCUGAGUGUGACGGCAGCUGCCGCAUGACUCCAAUAGUUGACACCCAUUAGAUAAGAGCACAUUAUGGCGUCCAAAGAAAACAUAGUACCAAUGGGAGUUCUAUGGGGACAAGCGUGGAUGUGAACUGUAAAGUGGGGGCUACUCAUGGAGAAUGCUGGUCCUGGCUUGGUAAUGAUUAACCCGCUUAAGCAGCCAAGUGUAUUGUAUAAAGAGGGCAGUAAAAUAUCUUGCUGUAAACGCGUCACUUUAUUAAGUGUUAGAUAAGAGCUCGGAAAGUCCCACAACGAUGGGGAAGGUCAGCAUGCUACCUUUUUGUUGUUAUCUGCUACUUGUAAAUAAACAUGAUGAUCUUAUUAAUUAUAUGUUUAGUCCCCGCCAACCAGGAAGUAGCGGUUUAUUGUGGUUGUAGUCACACCAGUGCCAUUGAAAAGUUUAUUUUCAGACUUCUCAGUCUUUUUACUCUUUAUCAAGAUCGGAUAUAACAAAUCAGCACUGCUGAUAUUUUUUCUAGCUAAAUGACUAGCCUACAUUUCGACAAGAACCUUAUACAUUUUUGCAUUGUAUUGAUUUUUGCUCUAGCGGUCACAAUUUUCUAGUGUUUUUCUUUCAACUUUUAGGGAGUACAGUUUAUCAAAAGACUGUCCCUUCAGUGUCAGACAUUUUUAGAUGAUUUUGACUGAUUUUUCAAGGCACACUGAAUAUUUUUCUUUCGUCAUCAGCAGUACAACAUAGGUACAUUUCAGGAAAAUAACAGUUCCCAACAAGAAAAGCAUAACUUUCACUCUGACACAAAUUUUUUUUUUGCUUUUGCAACAGUGCAAAUACAGUAUCUAACUAUAUCACAACAUAAAAAUUACAUGAAAGGGUUGUUUUAUAUGAAAAUAAUUAUUUACAAACAUAACACCAUUUACAAUUGUUACAGUUGGAACUAAACUGUGUGCGUAUCAGUGUUAAAGAAUAGAAUAGAAUAGUCCUUUAUUGUCAUUGUAACAAGUACAACGAAAUUGAUGGUUUCCAUACAAUGCAUAGCCUUCUGCACGCUACACUCCUCCAUGCCCUUCCACGUCCUCCUUGCUGUCGGGUGUGUUUUUACCUGCGAAAGGUCCAUGCCGAGAGCUUAUCAAAUGUGCUUUUGCCACCUUGUGGCCGUUUUUAUAGCUUAAAACUGCUCCAGUAGUGACAUUUUUUCAGUGUGCACGAGCGCCAUCAUUUUGCCUCUCGUACUAAAAAGACGUAUAAAUAUGUCUUUGGAAUCAGAUCUUUGGGUUUUUAAAAACGUAUAAAUACGUCUUUGUUAUUGAAUGAGUCAAUUUGUUCCAAAAGGUUUGAAGAAAAGCGAUACAAUUUUUCCACAGGAAAUGAUGUAAAUCCAAUUCAUACGCGCCAGACUAAGAAAAAUACAUUUUCUUGAAAGUAAUCAGAGUUUUACAUGCAGAAAAUGAUGUGUAAUAAUUAUAAAUAAGGAAUGGAUGAAACUCUGGGUUCAUCCUGGUGAGUUGCAAGUCAAUAGUGUUUCUCACCUGGCACUCGUGGGCACUUGGCCUU